rnacentral:misc_RNA from 1 species
AAGUCGUAACAAGGUUUCCGUAGGUGAACCUGCGGAAGGAUCAUUAACACGUAUCCAACGUUAAACAACCCUGUGAACUUUCAACGCUCUUGUAGCCCCAGAGGAACAGCAAUCCCGGUAAAUCAAUGGCGGAAAAGUUUGAUUCGGGACCUCUGUCCAAAAGGUAUCAAGUUACAAUCGAGCAGAGCAGUGGCAUGGUUUCCCUAAGCAGUGCAAGCCGGGCAUAAAAACCGAACAACUGUUAACAAUGGAUAUCUUGGUUCUC